rnacentral:rRNA from 1 species
AUUGAACGCUGGCGGCAUGCCUUACACAUGCAAGUCGAACGGCAGCACGGGAGCAAUCCUGGUGGCGAGUGGCGAACGGGUGAGUAAUGUAUCGGAACGUACCUUUCAGUGGGGGAUAACGUAGCGAAAGUUACGCUAAUACCGCAUAUUCUGUGAGCAGGAAAGCAGGGGAUCGCAAGACCUUGCGCUGAUUGAGCGGCCGAUAUCAGAUUAGCUAGUUGGUGAGGUAAAGGCUCACCAAGGCGACGAUCUGUAGCGGGUCUGAGAGGAUGAUCCGCCACACUGGAACUGAGACACGGUCCAGACUCCUACGGGAGGCAGCAGUGGGGAAUUUUGGACAAUGGGCGCAAGCCUGAUCCAGCCAUGCCGCGUGAGUGAAGAAGGGCCUCGGUUGUAAGUACGUACUUUCUAGU